rnacentral:rRNA from 1 species
AAUGGGCGCAAGCCUGAACCAGCCAUGCCGCGUGUGCGAAGAAGGCCCUAGGGUUGUAAAGCACUUUCAGUCGCGAAGAAAUGCUUACGGUUAAUAACCGUGAGUUUUGACGUUAACGACAGAAGAAGUACCGGCUAACUCCGUGCCAGCAGCCGCGGUAAUACGGAGGGUACGAACGUUAAUCGGAAUUACUGGGCGUAAAGCGCGCGUAGGCGGUUUGUUAAGUGGGAUGUGAAAGCCCCGGGCUCAACCUGGGAACUGCAUUCCAAACUGGCAGACUAGAGUAUGGUAGAGGCUGGUAGAAUUUCCUGUGUAGCGGUGAAAUGCGUAGAUAUAGGAAGGAAUACCGAUGGCGAAGGCAGCCAGCUGGACCAAUACUGACGCUGAGGUGCGAAAGCGUGGGGAGCAAACAGGAUU